AAGACACGUCCAGAAAAUCAGUCAGUCGUUCGUGGUCUUUCGAACCACGUCGCUGUAGAUAUAAUACUUUUAAUAAAGUGUGUGAAUAUAUUAUAUUCUUCCCACAUUGCAUACUUCUAAAGCAUUAAUUUGCUGCAGUUUAUUUUUAAAACGAUAUAUAGUUUUCCAAUUACCAUUCUGUUCCGAAAUAUUCGUGUGUUUUGCAGACCUAAAAUAAAUUAUUCGACACGAUGAUAUUUCUACUAUUAAUUAGCGGAAUAAUGUAUAUCGUUGGGACGGCUUCUACUCUUAAUCAAUCGUCUUUAUGCUAUCAACCAUCAGAAUAUAUAAAACCAAUCCAUUACGAUAUCAAGCAUAUAUCAAAUAUUGAA